rnacentral:lncRNA from 10 species
UGAAUGGUCAGCGUUAAGUGAGCUUUGCAAUAGUUGCUGUGCUUAUAAAGCAACUGACAACUGGCCCUUGUCCUUUCCUAGGUAUAAGUAUGAAGAGACAAAAAAGGAAAUUUGUAUUAGAAACUAGAAGGCUUAUGACAGGUGGUAGCUUGCUUUCUUGGCGGAGCUCAGAUACCUUGAAAUAACAUUGUAAAUUCAGAUAAGGCUUUUCAUGCUUUCUUUAAUUCAGAACAAUGUAGAACCUCUUUAGAGUUUUAGAGCAAAGCUGAUUGACCUACAAAUCCAUGUUAUUGUUGGAUCUUAGAUGAGCAAAUCUACCUGGCUCAGGUUCUGACUCCGGUUUCCACUUGCCGCCUGGGAGGUGACUGUCCCCAAGUCCGCCUCUGAGGUGGUCCUGCUGGGUCCUGGCCUCGCCUAUUUCC